rnacentral:rRNA from 1 species
UGGGCCGCCGGAAAAACUGCAAAGCUAGGGAGUGGGAGAGGUAGACGGUACUCGGUAGGAAGGGGUAAAAUCCUUUGAUCUAUUGAUGACCACCUGUGGCGAAGGCGGUCUACCAGAACACGUUCGACGGUGAGGGAUGAAAGCUGGGGGAGCAAACCGGAUUAGAUACCCGGGUAGUCCCAGCUGUAAACGAUGCAGACUCGGUGAUGCGCUGGCUUGUGGCCAGUGCAGUGCCGCAGGGAAGCCGUUAAGUUUGCCGCCUGGGAAGUACGUACGCAAGUAUGAAACUUAAAGGAAUUGGCGGGGGAGCACCACAAGGGGUGAAGCCUGCGGUUCAAUUGGAGUCAACGCCAGAAAUCUUACCCGAGGAGACAGCAGAAUGAAGGUCAAGCUGGAGACUUUACCAGACAAGCUGAGAAGUGGUGCAUGGCCGUCGCCAGCUCGUGCCGUGAGAUGUCCUGUUAAGUCAGGUAACGAGCGAGAUCCCUGCCUCUAGUUGCCACCAUUACUCUCAGGAGUAGUGGGGCGAAUUAGCGGGACCGCCACAGUUAAUGUGGAGGAAGGAAGGGGCCACGGCAGG